rnacentral:lncRNA from 1 species
GUGAUACGGAAGUGGAACUCUUUGUUAUUUUCCCAGAGUCAGAAGGAAGGCAUAAGCAUCCCACUUGAGGAAAAUAUCAUGCCUAUAAGCCCAGUUUCUCCCAGAUGUUCACUCAGGUCAUUCCUGAUGAGGUUCUCUUUAGACCUGCUGAAAGGAUGGCUUCUAUCUUCAGAUACAAAGUGUUUCUAUUGCUCCUUGCUGCUGCUGUUCUGUGAUCCAGUGAGUGAUGAAUGUGUCCUAAAGAACUCUGUCCUUUCUUGUCUUGAAGAUGGAUGCAUUCAGCUGUGGGAUAAGAAUAUGCAACAACCUUGAGUUGUACAUGUUUAAGACACUUAAGACUGGAAGGAUUGAUAUCUUGAGAAAGGGGCCCUGUAUCUCUGGAUUGAUAUCUUGAGAAAGGGGCCCUGUAUCUCUCAAACUGAUACUUAAGAA